AGAAUACAACUCGAACAGAAGUGAAAAUUAAAGAUGUGUAAGGUGGAAGGACAAGGAAAUUACAUACACGAGCCACUUUCGAACAACUUUUAAAAUUCAGGAUCGAUAAUAGCUCACGCGAGAAAUGAACGCUGUCACGGGUAUUGACAAGUGAAUGGCUCACUUGUAGUCGGUCGAUGAACCUCUCGAUUGAAAAUCAAAAAAGAUCAACGGGCAGAAUCCGUGCAACGAAAGUCGGUGGUAUCAGGUGGAGGAGCGGUCAUUAACUUUUCCCAAUAAGAAUUCAUGACUCUCUCCCCGUUUGUCACGUGUUCUUUAUAUACUUUCACCUCUGCCUAUCGUUAAAUAAAUGAAUUGUUGAAAAGAAAUUGUCGACGAUCGUGACGUGCCUAUUGAUUAUACUCGGUAAUCGAUCUGUUCUUUUGUAAAGAGAAUUUAUAUUCGCCCUUCUAAUAUCAUUGUACCGUCGCCAAUAAAAUUGAUGCAAU